rnacentral:rRNA from 1 species
UGGGGAAUAUUGCACAAUGGGCGCAAGCCUGAUGCAGCCAUGCCGCGUGUAUGAAGAAGGCCUUCGGGUUGUAAAGUACUUUCAGCGGGGAGGAAGGGAGUAAAGUUAAUACCUUUGCUCAUUGACGUUACCCGCAGAAGAAGCACCGGCUAACUCCGUGCCAGCAGCCGCGGUAAUACGGAGGGUGCAAGCGUUAAUCGGAAUUACUGGGCGUAAAGCGCACGCAGGCGGUUUGUUAAGUCGAAUGUUAAAGAUCGGGGCUCAACCCCGCAAAGCAUUGGAAACUGAUAAACUUGAGUAGUGGAGAGGAAAGUGGAAUUCCUAGUGUAGUGGUGAAAUACGUAGAUAUUAGGAGGAAUACCAGUAGCGAAGGCGACUUUCUGGACACAAACUGACGCUGAGGUACGAAAGCGUGGGGAGCAAACAGG